AUAUUAAUUAUGUAUUAAAAAUACUGAAAACAUUUUAAUGUUAUUUUCAUUUACUCUUUUAUAAUUUACCGCUCUGUUUUGUAACUUACGUGGUGUGUCACCUAUUAUCAAGUAUUUUAACUUGCCGUUCAACUAGUAUUUUUGUGUUACACAGUUGGUCUCAUAAAUAGUUGGUAAACCAAUUACUAAAUUACAAGUAUCAUCGAAGUCAAUAAUAAAUAAAUAUAAUAUUGGAGCAGUUUUGAAAACAAUAUUUUUAUACCACUUAUCAAAAUGGAGCUCAACUCUAUAAUGUUUCACCAAUCGGAUGUGAUUCUUUCAUCUAAUCUCCAACAUUAUUUGUCCUUCAUUUAUAUAGUUGACUAGAGAGGCUAUGCAAACUGGAAUCCGGGAUGUAGACUCACUGAGUCACUGGUGAUAAUUGGUACAGUAGAUAAUAUAAGUUGAUCGUUGAUGAUGGACCGAUCGGAAAGAGUUUUUUGGCUAUUGAGACUAUUAUUAAUUAAGAGCGUUUCGAUUAUGCUGGUGCGGAGAAGAAAAAGUUCUGUAUCUACAUUGCUAUCGGUCAAAUGAGAUCUACAGUAACUUGGAUCGUGAAAAUAGUGACGGCACUGCUAUUAACUAUUCUAUCAUCGUAUUCGAUACCGUGUCUGAUGCUGCUCUUUUCUUACACUUUUUUGCCAUGUGCCAUGGCAGAACUUUUUUUUUGUGACAACGGCAAACAUGUCUUCAUUAUUUAUGAUGAUUUGUCAAAAUCGGUAAUUGCUUACCAUUAAAUACUUUUAUUUUUGAGACGACCUUUAGGAAAUGAUGCUUAGCCUCGUCAUGUAUUCUAUAUUCAUUCUCGUUUUCUUGAAAGAGCAGUAAAAUCCAUUAAAUGUACAUAAAUAAUUGAGUUCGGACCGUCAAUAAUUUCCAGAUGUUUCAUCAAAAAAAUAAUAGUUAAAAAAAAAUGCCUUUAGUUUUCCAAAUUUUCAGUUAAGUAUUUAUAAUUUUUUUCAUAAAUAAUUCGUAAAAACAGAUCAAAAAUCAUUAUAUAACUGUCAGUUUUUAUUACUGAGUAGUAUGACAUUGAAAUUCAUAGGCCUCGACCAUUUUUGGAUAUUUUGGAAAAUGAAUUAUUUAAAGAAAAAGUUGUUUUUUGGAAUAUCUAGAUGUAUACGUUUUUAUUAAAAGUUUUUUAUAAAUUUUUUCUGAAAAAACAACAAAAUUAUUAUGUUUAUUUGUUUCUAUUGCUGAGUAGUAAAUACGAAUCAUAUUUUUUGUUAAUAAAAGAAUUUUGUUUUAAGUUUGAUUCAGAAUUACAAUAACCAAGUUAGUUUUUCCAUCCAUCAUGGCAAAAUACGAGGACUCGUCAAAUUACUUUAAUCAUCCAUGGGAUCCAAUGACUUUGAGGCAUACGUAAACAUAGUUGCAUUUCAACAAGGUGCAACGCUUUUACUGGGACUUCCUUGAUAGUAAAAACUAUUUGACUGUCUCCGAAGCCGAUGAGUUACUCCAAGCGAGCAAACUUCGGAUUAAUAUGUAGAAUGAUGAUAUCAAAGACAAUAGAAAUCGUUAGAUUUCUAUUUAAGAGUGAUAUGUAGAUUUCUAUUCAUAUUUGAUAGUCGUCUAUUAGUGUACGGUUGACUGAAGUAGUUUCUUAAUAAGUUUUUAAAUCUUUUAAGUAUACAUAUUGUCAUUAUAACUUUAAUGUCUCAUUUAUUCCUUUUUUUUUAACUUAAUUAGUGUAACUAGAAACCAUUAGAUGUCUGUCACUUCUAGUUAUGUCUUGAGAAAAAAAAAGUAAUUAUGUAAAAUUAUUCUAAAAAUUUAGGAAAAUCUAAAAUAAAUCUAUUAAGUUUAUGAAAAUUUUUACUCUUAAUAAAUGCAAUAUUUCGUUAAUUAAU